rnacentral:rRNA from 1 species
UACGUAGGGUCCGAGCGUUGUCCGGAAUUAUUGGGCGUAAGAGCUCGUAGCGGUUUGUCGCGUCUGCGUGUGAAAUCCCGAGGCUCAACCCCGGACUUGCAGUGGGUACGGGCAGACUAGAGUGUGGUAGGGGAGACGUGGAAUUCCUGGUGUAGCGGUGAAAUGCGCAGAUAUCAGGAGGAACACCGGUGGCGAAGGCGGAUCUCUGGGCCUUACCUGACG